rnacentral:rRNA from 1 species
AUUGAACGCUGGCGGCAUGCCUUACACAUGCAAGUCGAACGGUAACGCGGGGCAACCUGGCGACGAGUGGCGAACGGGUGAGUAAUGCAUCGGAACGUGCCCAGUAGUGGGGGAUAGCCCGGCGAAAGCCGGAUUAAUACCGCAUACAACCUAUGGGUGAAAGCGGGGGACCGUAAGGCCUCGCGCUAUUGGAGCGGCCGAUGACAGAUUAGGUUGUUGGUGGGGUAAAAGCCUACCAAGCCGACGAACUGUAGCUGGUCUGAGAGGACGACCAGCCACACUGGAACUGGGACACGGCCCAGACUCCUACGGGAAGCAGCAGUGGGUAAUUUUGGACAAUGGGGGCAACCCUGAUCCAGCCAUGCCGCGUGCGGGAAGAAGGCCUUCGGAUUGUAAACCGCUUUUGUCAGGGAAGAAACGCUCUGAGUUAAUACCUCGGGGUAAUGACGGUACCUGAAGAAUAAGCACCGGCUAACUACGUGCCAGCAGCCGCCGUAA